rnacentral:rRNA from 1 species
UACGGGGGGGGCAAGCGUUGUUCGGAAUUACUGGGCGUAAAGGGCUCGUAGGCGGCCAACUAAGUCAGACGUGAAAUCCCUCGGCUUAACCGGGGAACUGCGUCUGAUACUGGAUGGCUAGAGGUUGGGAGAGGGAUGCGGAAUUCCAGGUGUAGCGGUGAAAUGCGUAGAUAUCUGGAGGAACACCUAUUGCGAAGGCAGCUCGCUGGGACGUAACUGACGCUGAGACGCGAAAGCGUGGGGAGCAAACAGG